rnacentral:rRNA from 1 species
UACGGAGGGGGCUAGCGUUGUUCGGAAUUACUGGGCGUAAAGCGCACGUAGGCGGCUUUGUAAGUUAGAGGUGAAAGCCCGGGGCUCAACUCCGGAACUGCCUUUAAGACUGCAUCGCUUGAAUCCAGGAGAGGUGAGUGGAAUUCCGAGUGUAGAGGUGAAAUUCGUAGAUAUUCGGAAGAACACCAGUGGCGAAGGCGGCUCACUGGACUGGUAUUGACGCUCAGGUGCGAAAGCGUGGGGAGCAAACAGG